rnacentral:rRNA from 1 species
UACGGAGGGUGCGAGCGUUGUCCGGAUUUACUGGGCGUAAAGAGCGCGCAGGCGGCUGGUCAAGUCCGAUGUGAAAUCUCCCGGCUCAACUGGGAAACUGCAUCGGAAACUGAUCGGCUUGAAGAUGGGAGAGGGUAGUGGAAUUCCCGGUGUAGUGGUGAAAUGCGUAGGUAUCUGGAGGAACACCGGUGGCGAAGGCGGCAUCCUGGACCAAUACUGACACUGAGGAGCGAAAGCCAGGGGAGCAAACGGG